GUCGUCGUGGCCGAGUGGUUAAGGCGACAGACUAGAAAUCUGUUGGGCUCUGCCCGCACAGGUUACGAAUCCUGUCGGCGACG
rnacentral:tRNA from 1 species